GGCAGCAGUGGGGAAUAUUGCACAAUGGGCGCAAGCCUGAUGCAGCCAUGCCGCGUGUAUGAAGAAGGCCUUCGGGUUGUAAAGUACUUUCAGCGGGGAGGAAGGGAGUAAAGUUAAUACCUUUGCUCAUUGACGUUACCCGCAGAAGAAGCACCGGCUAACUCCGUGCCAGCAGCCGCGGUAAUACGGAGGGUUGCAAGCGUUAAUCGGAAUUACUGGGCGUAAAGCGCACGCAGGCGGUUUGUUAAGUCAGAUGUGAAAUCCCCGGGCUCAACCUGGGAACUGCAUUUGAUACUGGCAAGCUUGAGUCUGGUAGAGGGGGGAAAAAUUCCAGGUGUAGCGGUGAAAUGGUAGCGAUCAUAGAAUACCGGUGGCGAAGGCGGCCCCCUGGACGAAGACUGACG
rnacentral:rRNA from 1 species